GCAUUACUAGCUUAAUGGUAAAGCCCUAUAAUGUCACUAUAGGUGAUGUCAGUUCGAAUCUGAUGUAUUGCG
rnacentral:tRNA from 3 species